AUGCAGAGCAAUAAAACCUUUAACUUGAAGAAGCAGAAUCAUACCCCAAGGAAGCACCAUUAACAUCAGCAGCGGCGGCGGCGGCGGCAGCAGCAACCACCCCCACCAAUACCUGCAAAUGGACAACCCGCCAGCAGCCAGAACGAAGGCUUGACUAUUGAUCUGAAGAAUUUCAGGAAACCAGGAGAGAAGACCUUUACCCAAUGUAGCCGUCUCUUUGUGGGCAAUCUUUCUCCUGUCGUCACUGAGGAGGAAAUGAGGAAACUUUUUGAGAAAUAUGGAAAAGCAGGCGAAGUUUUCAUACAUAAUGAUAAAGCCUUUGGCUUUAUUUGCUUGGAAAUGCGAACCCUAGCGGAAAUUGCUGAAGUGACGCUGGACAAUAUGCCACUCUGUGGAAAGCAGCUGCGCAAGUGCGCUUUGCCUGUCGGGGUGCAUCCCUUACAGACUGCUGGAAGAAGCCUUUUCAGUGAUUCGCUAGGUGGAGUGAGAUCUCAGGGAAGCCAGCUGCUCGGAAAGCUCUGGACAGAUGCCGUGAAGGCUACUUCUCGCUAACCGUAUUUCCUCGGCCUGUGACUGUGGAGCCUAUGAACCAGUUAGAUGAUGAAGAGGGACUUCCAGAGAAGCUGGUUAUUAAAAACCAACAAUUUCACAAGGAGAGAGAACAGCCACCCAGAUUUGCACAACCUGGGUCCUUUGAGUAUGAGUUAGACAUGCGCUGGAAGGCACUCACUGAGAUGGAGAAGCAACAACAGGAUCAAGUGUACCGGAACAUCAAGGAAGCUUGUGAGAAGCUAGGAAUGGAGAUGGAGGCAGUUUAUGCUAAUGAGGCAGAAGAGCCUCGGAGAAUGGAGGAGCUGCAUAACCAAGAGGUUUCAGAAACCAAAGCAGUUAGAGCUCAGGCAGGAAGAGGAAUGCAGGCGUAGGAGGUAGGAGCCGUGGGAUGCGGUGAUAACAAGAUGUGAAGGAUUCAAGGGAACCUUCCCUGAUGCGAGAGAACAAGAGAUACAGGUGGGCCAAAUGGUUAUGGGAGGUGCUAUGGGCAUAAACGAUAGGGGUGCCAUGCCCCCUGCUCCUGUGCCACCUGGUACUCCAGCUCCUCCAGGACCUUCCGCUCUGAUGCCAGAUGGAACCUUGGGAUUGACCCCACCACCAACUGAAUGAUUUGGCCAAGUGGAAGGAAUUGGAGAAAUUGGUGGACUGGAGCAUCUAACUGUCCAGCUCCAGGAGCUGAAUUUACUCCAAAUAAACGCCGCCGAUUUUAG